rnacentral:tmRNA from 1 species
GGGGUCGUUACGGAAUCGACUAGCAUUGUUUGAGCUAGUACUGCGCUUAGGGGUUGUGGCCCUAUAAUCCACUCAGACGAAUUUAACUGCAAAAAAUUCAAACAAUAUGGCGGUUGCUGCCUAAACACCAGCACGCCUAAUUAAGUUUAGUUAUGAUUGCUAAUUGAACUUAAUCAUCAAACUGUAAUCUGCGGGUAACCCUCCCAUCUGAAGUGGUUGCCAAGAGGAUAAUCAGAUUAGCCGAAGUGAUCGCCGUGUUGAUUGGCGUGCAUGAAGCGAAAUUUAAAUUAAUCGACUAUGAGCGAAGAUGUGUUAGUGCCAAGAUGGUAGGACAGGGGUUCAACUCCCCUCGGCUCCAUAA